ensembl:misc_RNA Metazoa_SRP Metazoan signal recognition particle RNA
UCUGGGUGCGGUGGCUCACACCUAUAAUCUCAGCACUUUGGGAGGCUGAGGUGGGUGAAUGGCUUGAGCCCAGGAGUUCUAGACCAGCCUGGGCAACAUAGGGAGACCCUGUCUCUUAAAAAACAUACAAAAAUAGCCGGGUGCAGUGGCUCAAGCCUGUAAUCCCAGCACUUUGGGAGGCUGAGGCAGGUGUAUCACCUGAGAUCAGGAGUUCAAGACCAGCCUGGUCAACAUGGCGAAACCCCAUCUCU